CAGCCGCCGCGGUAAUACGUAGGGUGCGAGCGUUAAUCGGAUUUACUGGGCGUAAAGCGUGCGCAGGCGGCCCGUUAAGACAGGUGUGAAAUCCCUGGGCUCAACCUAGGAAUUGCGCUUGUGACUGGCGGGCUCGAGUACGGUAGAGGGGGGUGGAAUUCCUGGUGUAGCAGUGAAAUGCGUAGAGAUCAGGAGGAACACCGAUGGCGAAGGCAGCCCCCUGGGCCUGUACUGACGCGCAUGCACGAAAGCGUGGGGAGCAAACAGGAUUAGAUACCCUGGUAGUCCACGCCCGAAACGAUGGGUACUAGCCGUUUGGUGCGCGAUAGCGCUGAGUGGCGAAGCUAACGCGUGAAGUACCCCGCCUGGGGAGUACGGCCGCAAGGUUGAAACUUAAAGGAAUUGGCGGG
rnacentral:rRNA from 1 species